rnacentral:tmRNA from 1 species
UUUAUUGAAUCUCUUUCAAAUGCUUUUAUAUUAAUACUGUUGGCUUGCCAACUACGACGAUAAACGAAUUUCGUAAUAACCAUUACGGACGUGGGGGCAGUACCCACCACCUCCACCAUUUACAACUUAUGGGGGUGAACUAGGAUCGACGGGUGACUAAAGGCUAUUCUUUCGUUCGGGAUUGUUCCACCGUAACGGGCUAAACUUUAAAUGCUAACGAAAGUUACGCAAUUGCUGCAUAAUUAACUUAGGUUAAUUUAUAGAAGCACGGUCUGGGGCACCGGGUAACAGAACGCCCCUUACA